CAUUGAAACACCAGUUCCCAUAUCAUCACCAAAGUUAAGCAACAUCAAACCUGGUCAGUACCUUGAUGGGUAAACCCUUGGGAAUACCACAUGCUGUAAG